GGCUCAGAUUGAACGCUGGCGGCAGGCCUAACACAUGCAAGUCGAACGGUAACAGGAAGCAGCUUGCUGCUUUGCUGACGAGUGGCGGACGGGUGAGUAAUGUCUGGGAAACUGCCUGAUGGAGGGGGAUAACUACUGGAAACGGUAGCUAAUACCGCAUAACGUCGCAAGACCAAAGAGGGGGACCUUCGGGCCUCUUGCCAUCAGAUGUGCCCAGAUGGGAUUAGCUUGUUGGUGGGGUAACGGCUCACCAAGGCGACGAUCCCUAGCUGGUCUGAGAGGAUGACCAGCCACACUGGAACUGAGACACGGUCCAGACUCCUACGGGAGGCAGCAGUGGGGAAUAUUGCACAAUGGGCGCAAGCCUGAUGCAGCCAUGCCGCCGUGUAUGAAGAAGGCCUUCGGGUUGUAAAGUACUUUCAGCGGGGAGGAAGGUGUUGUGGUUAAUAACCACAGCAAUUGACGUUACCCGCAGAAGAAGCACCGGCUAACUCCGUGCCAGCCGCCGC
rnacentral:rRNA from 1 species